rnacentral:rRNA from 1 species
GAUGAACGCUGGCGGCGUGCCUAAUACAUGCCAGUCGAGCGAACGGACGAGAAGCUUGCUUCUCUGAUGUUAGCGGCGGACGGGUGAGUAACACGUGGAUAACCUACCUAUAAGACUGGGAUAACUUCGGGAAACCGGAGCUAAUACCGGAUGAUAUUUUGAACCGCAUGGUUCAAAAGUGAAAGACGGUCUUGCUGUCACUUAUAGAUGGAUCCGCGCUGCAUUAGCUAGUUGGUAAGGUAACGGCUUACCAAGGCAACGAUGCAUAGCCGACCUGAGAGGGUGAUCGGCCACACUGGAACUGAGGCACGGUCCAGACUCCUACGGGAGGCAGCAGUAGGGAAUCUUCCGCAAUGGGCGAAAGCCUGACGGAGCAACGCCGCGUGAGUGAUGAAGGUCUUCGGAUCGUAAAACCCUGUUAUUAGGGAAGAACAUAUGUGUAAGUAACUGUGCACAUCCUGACGGUACCUAAUCAGAAAGCCACGGCUAACUACGUG